UAUAACUUUUAAUUUUAACCACAAUAAUGUCUAAUUAAAUGUAUAAUUGUAAAUAUUAUUAUGUUCCUACUAUUUAUACUUAUAUAUUUCUCUUCAAAAUAAUGUUGGAAUACUGCUGACCAUAAAAAAUAUUAUCUUUGUUUAACUCUUAAAAAAUAUGUUUAUUGUUUAUUCUUAAUUUCCUGUUAUGAGACAUGGCACAUUUAUUUAUACAUUACAUAUUUGAAAGUUCAUUGAAUUAUUUGUCUUAAAUGUUUGAAAACAAUCAAAAUGAUUAAUUUCAAACGUUUACGGUUAAACAGAUGUAAUAAAAUAAUUUAUAUUUAACAAGUGCUUAUUUAUCUUAUAAUAAUUAUUUUUAGAUUUGGGGUUCACUUAUAUUUAAAUGUUUUCAUAGAAAAUAAUGUUAUUUGUUUUAGUGCCUGUUAACUGUUUUAUGUGCAACAAUUGCGGUCGAAGUUAUAAAUAUAAGCGUAAUUUAUGUUCUCACAAGAAAUUUGAAUGUGGAGUUCCACCAAAAUUUAGUUGUGAUAUUUGUUUUAAAAAAUUUGCCCACAGAGGAAACCUACGUGCCUCUUAACUGUUUUAUGUGCUACAAUUGCGGACGAAGCUAUAAAUAUAAACGUAAUUUGUUUGCUCACCAGAAAUAUGAAUGCGGAGUUCAACCAAAAUUUAGUUGUGAUAUUUGUUUUAAAAAAUUUGCCUACAAAGGAAAUCUACGGACUCAUUUAGUUGUUAUUCAUAAAUUAGUAGGUCUAGUAUAAGAAUGAAAAGACUGUAUCUUUGGACUUUCUAACUGAAUAAACUGAACCAAGUCUUAAUUUUCCUAUAUUUUAUGUAACUGUAUUUCACUUUGAAGAAUAUAUUUUGUACUACCAACAUAA